UUGCUUUGGCAGCACAUAUACUAAUUGGGUUGAUACAGAGAUUAGCACAGUCCCUGUGUAUGGGUGACACCCAAAUUCACGAAGCAGUCCUUUU
ensembl:snRNA predicted gene, 24076